CCAGAGGGCAGAGUCCAAAGGCUUGGAGUAGAGCUCCUACUCUUACAGUAUUUGCCUGACAAGACUCUAGAAUCUAUAUGGCCCAGCAACUUCUUCCUGGCUGUCAUUUUCUCCCUUUUUGAGGGAGAGUGUCUAGGGUGGUUAUUCUAUGACUGCCCCAUUAUAUGUUCAGUGGGAAAGGGUGUUAUGGACUGAAUGUGUCUCCUCAAAAUUCAUGUGGUGAAGCCCUAGCCCCUCAAUGUGAUGGUCUGUGGAGAUGGAGCCUUUAGAGGUAGUUAGGUUUCGAUGAGGCUGUGAGAGUAGGGUCGUCAUGGUAGGAUUAGUACCCUUAUAAGGAGACACCAGAGAGCUAGUUCUUUCUCUCUCUGCCAUAUGAUAUAUCAAGAAGGUGGCCAGAUCCAAACCAGGAAGAGAGUCCUCACCAACAUUUGACCAUGAUGAUACCCUGAUCUGUGACACCCAGCCAGCAGCCCUAUCAAGAGACCCACAUGGUGACGAACUCAGACAGCUGAUCCAAAUCAGCAAUGAGCCAGGGCUUCUUUCCAACACCAUAUGCCUAGGCUGUCGUGGACACAGAGCGUCCAGCCCCAGGCCAGUGUCAGAUGACCACGGUUCUGGCCAGCAUCCUGACCACAACCUCCUAAGAGACCUGGACCAGAGGCACCUGGCUAAGCCACUCCCAGAUCCUGGCCCUCAGAAACUAUGUGAAAUAAUAAAAAUAAUUUAAAAUCA